rnacentral:lncRNA from 1 species
AGAUAAAAGUACAAAAAUUAUUAUGGAAAAAUGCAUUUAAUUUUUUCAGAUAUCAACGACGUACAUAGGCAUCAUGCAUAAUACAUGAGGAAAUCUCAGCUAAGUAAGACCUCAAAGAAACAUAUUAUUAAAAAAAUAAAAAAUUGGGUAGACUAUGCCAAAACCCAAGGAAACAAACAACUGCCUCAUUAAAAACCUUAACAAGAAAAUCUAUUGAGAUAAAACUUGAUGAAGGAAAAAAGAGUGCAGCAUACACAUAAAAUUAAAUUUAAAAGCUAGAUAAACAUAAUUUAUAUUUUUAAGUAAAGAAAAAAAGUAGAAAUAAUGUGAUAUCCCCUGGUUUCGAUUGUGCAAUUAUGGCCCUUCAUAUGAACCUUCAAUAUACCACCCACAAAAACCAUCAAAACACUUUGUAUGGCAAGGACUAAUCACCUUCGGACAGUUAGCGUCAGAAGUGCAAGGAAUGGUAACUACGUUGCCAAAUAAAGGGAAAAAAAUGUUACUAAAAUGUGAUAAAAUAGGGUGAUAACAAAUUUAGAAAAAAUUAAAAUGGUGUGAAAAAUGCUUACGCAUUCUAGUUUCAGUCCUCUCAAACGCCGCUUCACCAAAAAAUAAAGAAAGAAAGAUAAUCAAAGAAUAAACAAACAGAAGAAAUUGAGCCAUAUGUUUCAUCCUUUGAACGU